rnacentral:tRNA from 1 species
UCUGGUGUAGUCGAGUGGUUAAGACGCCGCAUUGUGGAUGCGGAGGCUCUGGUUCAAUCCCAGGCACCAGUA